UACAUGGGGUGCAAACGUUGCUCGGAAUCAUUGGGCGUAAAGCGCGCGUAGGCGGUUGCUUAAGUCGGAUGUGAAAGCCCUCGGCUUAACUGAGGAAGUGCAUCCGAAACUGAGCAGCUAGAGUACGAAAGAGGGUCGCGGAAUUCCCGGUGUAGAGGUGAAAUUCGUAGAUAUCGGGAGGAACACCGGUGGCGAAGGCGGCGACCUGGGUAGAGACUGACGCUGAGGUGCGAAAGCGUGGGGAGCAAACAGG
rnacentral:rRNA from 1 species